AGUAAUGUAUGGGGAUCUGCCUGAUGGCGGGGGAUAACUACUGGAAACGGUAGCUAAUACCGCAUAAUGUCUACGGACCAAAGCGGGGGACCUCCGGGCCUCGCGCCAUCAGAUGAACCCAUAUGGGAUUAGCUAGUAGGUGAGGUAACGGCUUACCUAGGCGACGAUCCCUAGCUGGUCUGAGAGGAUGAUCAGCCACACUGGAACUGAGACACGGUCCAG
rnacentral:rRNA from 1 species